rnacentral:rRNA from 1 species
UACGUAGGGUGCAAGCGUUGUCCGGAAUUAUUGGGCGUAAAGAGCUCGUAGGCGGUUUGUCGCGUCUGCUGUGAAAACUCGGGGCUUAACCCCGGGCCUGCAGUGGGUACGGGCAGACUAGAGUGCGGUAGGGGAGACUGGAAUUCCUGGUGUAGCGGUGAAAUGCGCAGAUAUCAGGAGGAACACCAAUGGCGAAGGCAGCUCGCUGGAACGGUACUGACGCUGAGGCGCGAAAGCGUGGGGAGCGAACAGG